rnacentral:rRNA from 1 species
GAUGAACGCUGGCGGCGUGCCUAAUACAUGCAAGUCGAGCGAACGGACGAGAAGCUCGCUUCUCUGCUGUUAGCGGCGGACGGGCGAGUAACAAGUGGAUAACCUACUUCUAUGACUGGGAUAACUUCGGGAAACAGGUGCUACUACCAGAUCAUAUUUUGAACCGCAUGGUUCAAAAGUGAAUGACGGUCUUGCUGUCACUUAUAGCUGGAUCCGCGCUGCAUUAGCUAGUUGGUAAGGUAACGGCUUACCAAGGCAACGAUGCAUAGCUGACCUGAGAGGGUGAUCAGCCACACUGGAACUGAGACACGGUCCAGACUCCUACGGGAGGCAGCAGUAGGGAAUCUUCCGCAAUGGGCGAAAGCCUGACGGAGCAACGCCGCGUGAGUGAUGAAGGUCUUCGGAUCGUAAAACUCUGUUAUUAGGGAAGAACAGAUGUGGAAUUAACUGUGCACAUCUUGACGGUACCUAAUCAGAAAGCCACGGCUAACUUCGUG